rnacentral:tRNA from 1 species
GGAAUUGUGCCUGAAAUAAAGGGCCACUUUGAUAGAGUGGAUCAUGAAGGUUAAAACCCCUCCAAUUCCU